rnacentral:rRNA from 1 species
GGCAGCUACCAUGCAGUCGACGGUAACAGGAAGCAGCUUGCUUCUUCGCUGACGAGUGGCGGACGGGUGAGUAAUGUCUGGGAAACUGCCUGAUGGAGGGGGAUAACUACUGGAAACGGUAGCUAAUACCGCAUAACGUCGCAAGACCAAAGAGGGGGACCUUCGGGCCUCUUGCCAUCGGAUGUGCCCAGAUGGGAUUAGCUUGUUGGUGGGGUAACGGCUCACCUAGGCGACGAUCCCUAGCUGGUCUGAGAGGAUGACCAGCCACACUGGAACUGAGACACGGUCCAGACUCCUACGGGAGGCAGCAGUGGGGAAUAUUGCACAAUGGGCGCAAGCCUGAUGCAGCCAUGCCGCGUGUAUGAAGAAGGCCUUCGGGUUGUAAAGUACUUUCAGCGGGGAGGAAGGGAGUAAAGUUAAUACCUUUGCUCAUUGACGUUACCCGCAGAAGAAGCACCGGCUAA